rnacentral:rRNA from 1 species
UACAGAGGUCUCGAGCGUUAGGCGGAAUCACUGGGCUUAAAGCGUGUGUAGGCGGAUCGUUAAGUACCUUGUGAAAUCCCACGGCUUAACCGUGGAACUGCUUGGUAUACUGGCGGUCUUGAGCCAGCUAGGGGCUACCGGAACAAAUGGUGGAGCGGUGAAAUGCGUAGAUAUCAUUUGGAACGCCAAUGGUGAAAACAGGUAGCUGGGGGCUGUGCUGACGGCUGA